rfam:Paenibacillus sp. P1XP2 CM49_contig000030, whole genome shotgun sequence.
UAAAGUUGAAUAUGCUUACCGUAGACAGUAGGUGCCCCGCAAAGGCUUAAUUUCCUACCGAGGUGUUGUGAUAGAAUGAGGAUGGUUGCUCCUGACGUUCGUGUGGACAAUCAUCAUUUAUCAGGCCUUCGUGAUUCUACGGAGCUUUUUACAUGCCUAG